UACGGGGGAGCAAGCGUUGUUCGGAUUUACUGGGCGUAAAGGGCGCGUAGGCGGCCACCGCAAGUCGACUGUGAAAUCUCCGGGCUUAACUCGGAAGGUCAGCCGAUACUGCGGGCUAGAGUGCAGAAGGGGCAACUGGAAUUCUCGGUGUAGCGGUGAAAUGCGUAGAUAUCUGGAGGAACACCGGUGGCGAAGGCGGCAUCCUGGACCAACACUGACGCUGAGGAGCGAAAGCCAGGGAGCAAACGGG
rnacentral:rRNA from 1 species